rnacentral:lncRNA from 1 species
GGAAGACCUUGCUGAGGAUAAUUAGGUACCUGCUAGGAAGGGCUCCCACUGUCCAGGAAUAUUGGGGCACCACUUGAAUAACUCAUCCAAACUUUGACAAAAUAAUUCUGUAUUUAGAAAGUCAAUUUUGUUUUUUUCAUUUUUAUAAUAAUGGAUAUGAGAAAGUAAACCUCCAAGUGAUUUUAACCUUUCAACAGAAGCUGAAAGGUUGCUGAUUACUAUAAGCUGAAUUCUGUUUUAUUUACCAAGUAUUACUGUUGUUACUAGGAAACCAUGCUUCAUAGUUUAGCAGUUUGUUGGAAAAAAAAAAGUUCAAUUAUUGGAAAGGUAUCUUGAUGUGGGGUUUAGCCUUUUAUGUUUAAAGCUGCUAUAUGUUUUUCUGAAUGUUAUUUUGUGAUGAACUAGAUGACACAUAUAUAAUUUCUUUUCCAAAUUUUUGUAUCAACCUCCUCAAAACUGAUUUAUAUUUUACAUCUUAGCCAAUCUAUAUGUUAAUUUUAAAAUGUUUGCAAAUUUGUUCCAGUAUUGAGGAACUUCUCAAUUGAGUGAGCUGCCAAAUGGUCACUAUUAUAUUGCUCUCUACUUACAAGUGUGGAGCUGUUGGUAUUUGUCAAUAUAAUCGCAUCCAGAUGAAGCUUGAGAAUUUGUAAUUUUCAGAAGAUCUCUGGUAACUCUGUAAUGCAAUUGAAUUGAGAAACUACGCUACUUGCUUCAGAUACAGCCUGUAUCAAUAUUAUGUGAUACAGAGGGCAGAGAAGGUGAGCCGGUCCCAGCACCUGGAAGGAAGCUCCCCCACUGCCAUCCCAAGUUCC